UAAACAAUUGCGCAUAUAAAUGCCAAUUUCGAAGCCAUUUGGUUUCAUUCCAGUCAGUGUAAGCGUUCAGCACGCACAUAAAUUUACCAUAAUGAAGAAAGCAUUACUCGUCUUCAGUGUAAUAGUCUGCUUACUGGCGGUCAUCAGCUAUACUUCGGCGGAUGGCAUUGCAGCAAUCACCGAGGCAUUCAAAGGAGUAGGCAAAAGGCUUGACCAGUUCGGGACGAACGUGAAAAACUUGUUUGUCAAAACAAAAAAUGCAACCACCGAUACAAGAUAAAACUAAUCAAGAAAAAGCUUGCGUCAUCACCUAUCCUAUAGUGUAUGAGUGUGAGUUAUAGUGGUAACAUUCCAAAAUGUUUCAACUAGCGUAAUGAAUAAAAAGUUACUCACCCCA